GAGUUUGAUCCUGGCUCAGGACGAACGCUGGCGGCGUGCCUAACACAUGCAAGUCGGACGAAGCUUUGAGGAGCUUGCUUUUUAAAGCUUAGUGGCGGACGGGUGAGUAACGCGUGAGCAACCUGCCUCUCAGAGGGGGGAUAACGUUUUGAAAAGAACGCUAAUACCGCAUAAUAUAUCGGAACCGCAUGAUUCUGAUAUCAAAGGAGCAAUCCGCUGAGAGAUGGGCUCGCGUCCGAUUAGUUAGUUGGUGAGGUAACGGCUCACCAAGCCGACGAUCAGUAGCCGACCUGAGAGGGUGACCGGCCACAUUGGGACUGAGACACGGCCCAAACUCCUACGGGAGGCAGCAGUGGGGAAUAUUGCACAAUGGGGGAAACCCUGAUGCAGCGACGCCGCGUGAAGGAAGAAGUAUCUCGGUAUGUAAACUUCUAUCAGCAGGGAAGAUAGUGACGGUACCUGACUAAGAAGCCCCGGCUAACUACGUGCCAGCAGCCGCGGUAAUAC
rnacentral:rRNA from 1 species